rnacentral:rRNA from 1 species
GCGCACCAGUCGAGAAAACUUCACACUGUGCGAAAGCACGAUGAGGGAAUCCCAAGUGCUUGCACGUAAGUGUAAGCUGUUUCUCUGUCUAAAACGCAGAGAGAGUAAGGGCUGGGGUAAGACGGGUGCCAGCCGCCGCGGUAAUACCUGCAGCUCAAGUGGUGACCGUUAUUAUUGGGCCUAAAACGUCCGUAGCCGGUUUAAUAAAUGCCUGGGUAAAUUGUGUAGCUUAACUAUACGAAUUCCGGGUAGACUGUUAAACUUGAGACCGGGAGAAGUUAGAGGUACUCCUGGGGUAGAGGUGAAAUUACUGUAAUCCUAGGGGGACCGACCAGUGGCGAAGGCGUCUAACUAGAACGGGUCUGACGGUGAGGGACGAAGCCCUGGGGCGCAAACGGGGAUUAGAUACCCGUGUAGU